ACUCCUACGGGAGGCAGCAGUGGGGAAUCUUAGACAAUGGGCGAAAGCCUGAUCUAGCGAUGCCGCGUGUGUGACGAAGGCCUUAGGGUCGUAAAGCACUUUCGCCAGGGGAUGAUAAUGACAGUACCUGGUAAAGAAACCCCGGCUAACUCCGUGCCAGCAGCCGCGGUAAUACGGGAGGGGGUUAGCGUUGUUCGGAAUUACUGGGGCGUAAAGCGCGCGUAGGCGGACUAUUAAGUCAGGGGUGAAAUCCCGGGGCUCAACCCCGGAACUGCCUUUGAUACUGGUAGUCUUGAGUUCGAGAGAGGUGAGUGGAAUUCCGAGUGUAGAGGUGAAAUUCGUAGAUAAUUCGGAGGAACACCAGUGGCGAAGGCGGCUCACUGGCUCGAUACUGACGCUGAGGUGCGAAGGUGUGGGGAGCAAACAGGAUUAGAUACCCGUGGUAGCGACUGA
rnacentral:rRNA from 1 species